GGACCGAGGAAGAGGGAGCGCAGCUCGGUGCGGGGAGGGAACCGGGGGAGCGGAGGGGACGGCAGCACCCCGAGGGAUCCGGAUCGUAGCCCCGCACACCGGCACCCCCCUCGCCGCACCGCAACAUCGAUGCCAUUGGGGAGGCUUCGCCAUCGGACACCCUCCUUGCCCCUCCCGGGACGGGGUCCUGUCCCGCAGCACCGGGACCGCCUUCCACCAGCAGCGGGGUGACGGCACUGCGAGACGCCCGUGGGAUUUCCAUGCCCUGUGCCGGGCUGGACGCGAGGCCGAGCUCCUCUUUGGGAUGUAGCAUCUGAAUUUCUGCCAUCAGCAACCUUUCGUAGCAAUAGUUUCCUGUAAAACUCUGUGCUGUAGAGUUGGCGCUUGCACCGCUCUGAGCAGAAGAGAAGGGGACCUCAACGUGACCGCCAUCCACGGGGCCACCUCCUCCUGACCUGCAGCCUUCACAUCCCACGAGAGCAGGAUGAAGGCUGGGACCCCCCACCCCCGUGCCUAGCAUCCCACCAGCAGCCCCACAACGGCCUCAGAAACCAGGGUGCUCUGUCUGGAGGAGAGAGGAUAACUCGCCGUGCGCAGCGUGGUCCUUCUUUUCCUGUUUUAGAGAAGCAGCUCUGCCCCACUGGGGUGCCUUUGUGCUGCUCACAAGAGCCAUUGUGUGCAGCGCGAAGGUAACAUUGCAUCUCGGGAAUUAAACAUGAAGCAUCAUUAAAGCACAACGUUCUGUGGAGAGAAAAAAUCGGUCUGAGCAGGAUGUUGAGAAAGGCAAGGAAUUGUCCCAUAGGAAAACACAGCCCCACAAAAGGUGGUGUUUGUCACAAACUGCCACCAGUUUUUAAUCUGUCCCGUAAAUUACUUGCUUCAAAUGUGCAGAGAUAUCUCUCUCCAGACAGCCCAAGGCAAGGGGAAAGUUGUUUACGUGUGGUACAAUUGCUGGGGCCAGAUCUUGUUCCAGGGCUCCCGUAGCAUCCUUAGGUGAUCCCACCCCUCCCAUGGCUGGGGACAGCCCGCAGCCCGUGCCACCAUCCCCAUCCUGCACAACGGUGUCCAUUCCUCUCAGUGCUGUGAAGGACCACACGUCCCUCUGCCCAUCCCUGUGUCACCUGCCUGUGCUCUGUGUUUAGUAUUGGGUCCUGGAAUCCUCAAAUGGCCUCGCACAGGCUGCUGGCAGGCUGCAUCUGCUGAACACCUGCAUUAUGCGGGCGCAAGAAAUUCUCCUUUGUGUUAGAGUGCGGGGCUGUUGGAGGGCUGUUAAUGGAAGGAGGCUGUCAUUGCUGUGCCAGCACAUUGCUCUGCUGUCCCUUGAGGAGGGCCUGGAGAACUGGGGGAAAAUCCUCUGGAUUGAAAUAUAAAUAUUUAAGGCGAAUGAAGUGCGUUGAGGAAGGAAUGCCAUUAAAGGGGCUCCCCACUGAGACCUGUAGGACUGGAGAGUGAUUUUGCACAGGGGCAGCGGUGGGACCAGAGGAGAGCAGUGCAGCAGGCUGGAAACACUGAGCCGAAGCGAUGAUUUAUUUAGGAAGCAACCCAAAAAAUGACCAGGUGGCGAGACAAAUCUGGUCCAGCAAGGUGGGCUGGAGCAGGGCAGAGUGGGCAGGAUGAGGCCCCAGCCCCACAGUGUCACACCCUGGGGCUGUGCAGCUGCUAAUGGGUGGGUUGGGGCAGUCCUGUGUCCCUGGAGGCACAGUGAAACCCGUCCCAUUGGAGAGCACCUUGCUGCUGCACAGCAUUUCUGCACAUCUCCAGCUUCCAAUGGAGAAGCUGGCUCAGCACAGAGCUUUUGAGCACUCAUCUUCAGGGUCCUGGAGUGUCUCUGUGCAGGAGGGAAAGGCCCCAUACACCUCUCUCACUCCUCUACAACAGAGGCUGCUUUGUUUUCCCAUCUGUGCAAUAUCCACCCGUUCUUCCCUCGCACCAUCCACGGGGCAUGCAGGAUCCUGGCUUGGAGCAUCGUCUGCAGGGUAAUUAGCGGAACGAGGGCUUUGCCAUUGAGAGCAUGAGAGGCAGGUGCUGUUGGCUGGGUGGGCUGGCAGAUGGCCUGAAGGACUCUCCAGGGACAUCGAGCCAUUGCCAAUAAUCCAGCGCCUCUUUCAACCGUG
ensembl:lncRNA